UGUCACUUUUCAUCACUUAAACCGAAUAAAACGGUUGAAGAAAUGAAUGGAGAGAGACUUGGAGAUCGUGUUUAUAAUUCUUUGUCUCGACGCUAACAUUCCUAAUGACCUGACCUGUAUGGGGAACCUGUGUGCCUAACGCGGCGAUUAAAAACAAUAAUGAAAAGAAAAUCAACACACCAGGCUCCAAAAGUUACAGGCAAGUGGUGCCUAACCCUUUGGGGAGACUGACCCCAGGAGCGUCCUGUAACACCAACAGCUGUGGUAGAGAUGUACAUUCAGUUAAAAUCAGGAAAAUAGGGAUCACUUCCCGGCUAUGGGAGUUCCUGGCAGAAUUUCCGCACAAAAAUGAAAUAAAAAUAAAGGAAAAAAAAUAACAAACGUAAAUGGUGAAAAAAGCCCACCAGCUUUAGCUGAUAUAGACCGAAAUUUCUGCAGGGCUUAAGGGAGUAAUAAGGAAUGAAUAAAUAAAUGUAAAGAAGAAGAAGAAGGAAAAGUCUCGAAAUAGUUUUAGCACUUGGAAGACUCUUUGGGGAGAUUAUUGUUAAAAAUAUAAAUGAAAUAAAAAGAAAGCUAUCCCCUCAGGCUCACCAUGGGGAUAGCAGUGCCACA